rnacentral:rRNA from 1 species
AUUCCAGCUCCAAUAGCGUAUAUUAAUGUUGUUGCAGUUAAAAAGCUCGUAGUUGGAUUUCUGGUGGGAGUGGCCGGUCCGCCGUAAGGUGUGUACUUGGUUGUCUCCCGUCAUCCUUGUGGGAACUGCUCUGGCAUUAAGUUGUCGGGGUUAGGGAACACAUCGUUUACUGUGAAAAAAUUAGAGUGUUUAAAGCAGGCUUAUGCCGUUGAAUACAUUAGCAUGGAAUAAUAAGAUAGGACUCUGGCCUAUCUUGUUGGUCUGUAGGACCGGAGUAAUGAUUAAGAGGGACAGUCGGGGGCAUUCGUAUUUCAUUGUCAGAGGUGAAAUUCUUGGAUUUAUGAAAGACGAACCACUGCGAAAGCAUUUGCCAAGGAUGUUUUCAUCG